rnacentral:rRNA from 1 species
ACGUACAGAACCUUCCUUCAAGCGGGGAAUAGCCCAGAGAAAUUUGGAUUAAUACCCCAUAGCAUAAUGGAGUGGCAUCACUUUGUUAUUAAAGAUUUAUCACUUGAAGAUGGCUGUGCGGCUGAUUAGGUAGUUGGCGGGGUAACGGCCCACCAAGCCUGCGAUCAGUAACUGGUGUGAGAGCACGACCAGUCACACGGGCACUGAGACACGGGCCCGACUCCUACGGGAGGCAGCAGUAAGGAAUAUUGGUCAAUGGACGAAAGUCUGAACCAGCCAUGCCGCGUGGAGGAUGAAGGUCCUCUGGAUUGUAAACUUCUUUUAUCUGGGACGAAAAAAGGUCUUUCUAGAUCGUCUGACGGUACCAGAUGAAUAAGCACCGGCUAACUCCGUGCCAGCAGCCGCGGUAAUACGGAGGGUGCAAGCGUUAUCCGGAUUCACUGGGUUUAAAGGGUGCGUAGGUGGGUUGGUAAGUCAGUGGUGAAAUCUUCGAGCUUAACUCGGAAACUGCCAUUGAUACUAUCAGUCUUGAAUAUUGUGGAGGUUAGCGGAAUAUGUCAUGUAGCGGUGAAAUGCUUAGAUAUGACAUAGAACACCGAUUGCGAAGGCAGCUGGCUACACAUAUAUUGACACUGAGGCACGAAAGCGUGGGGAUCAAACAGGAUUAGAUACCCUGGUAGUCCACGCCCUAAACUAUGGAUACUCGACAUACGCGAUACACUGUGUGUGUCUGAGCGAAAGCAUUAAGUAUCCCACCUGGGAAGUACGAUCGCAAGAUUGAAACUCAAAGGAAUUGGCGGGGGUCCGCAC